GAGCUCCGAACACAGUUUCUACUCGCAACGUAGCAUCCCUAAUCACUGAGUGUUUGAAGAAGAGAGUCAAGAUACACGCGGAGAGAGCCGUUCUCCGGCAUUGUUGUUGAUGUAUCCAUAUCGACCACGGCCAACUAUAGAUACAGUUAGUUUCCUUCUGACGGUCUGUGAGUGCGCAUCUCGUUACCGAGGCCGUACCGUCGUUCUGUCCAGUCUCGUCUCGCCCAGAGCGAACUAGUUCGUACUAUUGCGUGAAAGUGUCCUCGCAACAAGCAACAAGUGUACGCAGUCGGCAAGAUCGGUAGCAGUAGCGCGCAGAAACCAUCCCCCCUAGCUGGUGCCGCAAGCAUUUCAUUUACAUUUUCUGCAACUAAGGCUAAUGAAUUAAAUGCAACCAGCUGGGAAAGUGUUCGUCAUUGGGCAAGGAACACAGUCGCUCGUUAGGGUACACAGCAACUUCCGUGCGGGUGAUAUCAUCAUGUAAAAUUCGUUCGAAACGGUGUGUUGACCGUGGUACAAGGGAACACGGUGAUCCCACGUACAUCCAUUAAAACGUUACCCAAACUGCCCGGUUUGGAUGUGUGUUCGUUUGACGUUCUUGGGAAAAGCAGUGAUACAGACAACACAGUCCACUCCAACCAUCGCAAAAGGGAGUGCAUUUCUCGCGAAGGUGGAACAUUUCACCCCACAGCACGAUAGAUUUUGAUUAAUGGGCCAUCGUUCAAUAGAAGCCAGCAACACCCAUCACAGCGUUUAAGUGGAAGAGACAACGAACCGACAACGGGCGGUGAUAAAGAUGAAAUAAUUUGAGAACUGUAUGAGGAUAAUAUUGUACUGAACGUGUCCGAGGGAAAUACACUCUAGCAGCACCAUCAACCUAACCACCUGUACGACCAGCUGGAUCCACCUCCCGUACCAACAACACACACACGUCCGUUUUAAAAGUGGCGCCUAAAACGCACCUAGCAACGCCGCGCGAAAUGGAGGGCGAGGUCAGCGUGCUGCUGGUCAUUACCGUGAUCAUCGGCACGAUCCUGAUGACCUCGCUGCUGGCCUGCUACAUCUGCGUGUUCCGCCAGCUGUGCUGCUCGCGCGAUAUGGACCUCGACCGGAGCUACAGUACGCGCGGCUCGAAGCGCACGUUGCGCGACAGCACCAACCUGGCGGAGAUCACCAACAUCACCAGCCAACAGACGGAGAUCGAGAAGGUUUAGCUAAGGGCGGGCGAAGAGGCCAUCACUUCGCUCUAGAACUUCGCCCGCCAGACAGAGCCUUCGACUGAAACCCAACCGAAAAAAAAACAUGAUUUCACGUCACACGUUGGCUGUGUUGUACAUGUAUAUCAUAUCUUGUAAAUAGUGCUUCUCACAUCCGGCCUUCCACCCCCUCCCCCCCUCCACGUGUACCACAUCUCUGUAAGACCCGUCCGUAGUAGCUACGUUUAGGAAGUUCCCAAGACAAGAAUGCUUCUUUGAAGGGAGGUGAUGGAACCAAAAUUCUAGUCAGUAUUAGUUAGCUCUUCCGUCUGUGCAAUGAAAUUAAACUUCCAAUGAUCCGAAGAAUAAACAGCAAAGAUUCUGUUGUGUGUAACUUGUACAAAAACGAAUGCUCCACAAUCGGUCGAUGUUUGUAUACGUGUGAGUUCGUGCAUGUUGGUGUGUGUUUUUAUAGUUCUAGCAAGCAAACACUGUAAAGGUCACUGUAAAGGCAAAUAAACAUGUUAAAAUGUAUCUGUUUUAAAGUAA